UCAAGCGACUAAGUGUAUGUGGUGGAUGCCUUGGCGAUCACAGGCGAUGAAGGACGUGACAGCCUGCGAAAAGCUGUGGGGAGCUGGCAAAUAAGCUUUGAUCCACAGAUGUCCGAAUGAGGGAACUCACCUGCUUUGCAGGUAUCCCAUCCUGAAUAUAUAGGGAUGGGAGGCGAACGAAGCGAACUGAAACAUCUAAGUAGCUUCAGGAAAAGAAAUCAACCGAGAUUCCGAAAGUAGCGGCGAGCGAAAUCGGAUCAGCCCAGCACUCGAUAGCAGCCAACUUACGGGAACGGUCUGGAAAGUCCGGCCAUAGAGGGUGAUAGCCCCUUACUGGAAAAGGCAGCUGUGGUACUAAGUGUGCGAUAAGUAGAGCGGGACACGUGACAUCCUGCUCGAAGAUGGGGGGACCAUCCUCCAAGGCUAAAUACUCGUGAUCGACCGAUAGCGUACCAGUACUGUGAAGGAAAGGUGAAAAGAACCCCGGGAGGGGAGUGAAAUAGAUCCUGAAACCGCAUACAUACAAACAGUAGGAGCCUCGUUAAGGGGUGACUGCGUACCUUUUGCAUAAUGGGUCAGCGACUUACGUUUAAUGGCGAGCUUAACCGUAUAGGGGAGGCGCAGCGAAAGCGAGUUCGAACAGAGCGUUCAGUCGUUAGGCGUAGACCCGAAACCAGAUGAUCUAUCCAUGGCCAGGUUGAAGGUGUGGUAACACACACUGGAGGACCGAACCGACUAGUGUUGCAAAAUUAGCGGAUGAGCUGUGGAUAGGGGUGAAAGGCUAAACAAAUCUGGAGAUAGCUGGUUCUCCCCGAAAACUAUUGAGGUAGUGCCUCGUGUAUGACUCCAGGGGGUAGAGCACUGUUAUGGCUAGGGGGACAUGGCGUCUUACCAAACCAUGGCAAACUCCGAAUACUUGGAAGUUUGAGCACGGGAGACAGAGCACCGGGUGCUAACGUCCGGACUCAAGAGGGAAACAACCCAGACCGCCGGCUAAGGUCCCUAAUAUUGACUAAGUGGAAAACGAAGUGGAAAGGCUAAGACAGUCAGGAAGUUGGCUUAGAAGCAGCCAUCCUUCAAAGAAAGCGUAAUAGCUCACUGAUCGAGUCUUUCUGCGCGGAAGAUGUAACGGGGCUAAGUCAAUAACCGAAGCCGCGGAUUCACACUUGUGUGUGAGUGGUAGGGGAGCGUUCUGUAAGCCUGCGAAGGUGACUCGUAAGGGUUGCUGGAGGUAUCAGAAGUGCGAAUGCUGACAUGAGUAACGUUAAAGCGGGUGAAAAGCCCGCUCGCCGUAAGCCCAAGGUUUCCUGCUCUACGUUCAUCGGAGCAGGGUGAGUCGGCCCCUAAGGUGAGGCUGAGAAGCGUAACUGAUGGGAACAAGGUUAAUAUUCCUUGACCACCGCUGAAUGCGAAGGGGGGACGGAGUAUUGAAGAUCAUCCGGGUGUUGGAUAUCCCGGUUUGCGAGCGUAGGAGGCUGACAGGCAAAUCCGUCAGCGAAUCUCCGAGGCGAAGCAUCGAGCUCUCUUUUGAGCGAAGUGAUUGGAUGUGCUUCCAGGAAAAGCCUCUAAGCUCCAGUUCAGCGGGACCGUACCGCAAACCGACACUGGUGGGCGAGCUGAAUAUGCUCAGGCGCUUGAGAGAACUCAGGAGAAGGAACUCGGCAAAUUGACACCGUAACUUCGGGAUAAGGUGUGCCUUUGUAGCGUGAAGGGAGAAACACCCCGAGCGCGAAGAGGUCUCAGAUAAUCGGUGGCUGCGACUGUUUAUUAAAAACACAGCACUCUGCAAAGACGAAAGUCGACGUAUAGGGUGUGAUGCCUGCCCGGUGCUGGAAGAUUAAUUGAUGGGGUGCAAGCUCCUGAUCGAAGUCCCAGUAAACGGCGGCCGUAACUAUAACGGUCCUAAGGUAGCGAAAUUCCUUGUC
rnacentral:rRNA from 1 species